rnacentral:snRNA from 1 species
GUGCUCGCUUCAGCAGCACAUGUACUAAAAUUUGAACAAUACAAAGAAGAUUAGCAUGGCCCCUGCACAAGGAUGAGAUGCAAAUUUGUGAAGAUUCCUUACUUAAA